rnacentral:rRNA from 2 species
AACGUUAAAGACGAUGACGUUGAUAGGUCGGGUGUGUAAGCGCAGCGAUGCGUUGAGCUAACCGAUACUAAUGAACCGUGAGGCUUAACCUUACAACGCCGAAGGUGUUU